GUCUAUGAGCAUUCCACCCUGAACAAGGCCGAUCUCGUCUGAUCUCGCAAGCUAAGCAGGGUCAGGCCUGCUUAGUACUUGGAUGGGAGACCACCUAGGAAGACCAGGUAGAUG
rnacentral:rRNA from 1 species